ACAUUCUGAAACAAAUGAUUUGUUAUUAUACAGUAUUGUUCGAUUGGAUGAUAGGAAUGACAUUUAUCGAAUUUUGAACAAUCGUUUCCAGCGCAGAGUAAAUUUUCAUGAAAAGCAAUUGUUUAUUGUACUUUUUGUGCACGAGUGCAUGGUAACAGAGGGGAAACGAAUCGAAAUGAAGAGGGAAAUUGAAAAUUUGCUCGAUGCCAAGCGAAGUGAACAUCUACGCCACUCGGAUGUGAGUAAACUGCAUGUGCAGAAAAUUCAUUACACAGGGGUGUCUGCCAGACAGCUAACCCAGGUUGCCAAAUAUUGAUAAAAUAUUCACAAACACUGCAGUCAUAGUCAAACCAUUCCAACGCCAGAUGUAUUACUAUUGAUUUUGGUUUCCCCCGAAUUAUUAUCACCUAUCAUUCAAUCAAAAUAUGCAUAUUAAAUGCCACACUGGCCAAAAAUACCCAUAAUAGAUGUGAUUGCGGAUUAUUGAUGACAUUUCACCGUAAACCAACGACAGAUUAUAAUUCCGGCUUCAAUUUCCUGCUUUCCAAACCAAUCCGAAAUCAGAAGUCAUAAACCUGGAAGUUGCUGGUAUAAACCGUCUUGGAAAUCAUGACGCUGCUGACCCGGUCAGCAAUUAAAGAAGCCGGCGGCGUUUUAUCGCGGUAGCGCUUAGUUUGGAGCAACUUAUGUAAUAAACCCGAGGAAGACCAAAUCGUACAUACCGGUUGGCAAUACCACAAAGCGAGAAGAGCCUGCUGAGUCUGCACUUGCAGAGAGUCAUGCAUACUACAACAAGUAGUUACAUAAAAAGAAUGAACACGCCUGCUGGGUCAGGGGCCUACUUUUCGUGCUUGGCCGGCGUCGAGUUCAGCGGCGAGUCGUGAUUCAAGGUGAAAUUGGAUAUCAGGUGCUUUUAUUGGUUAUUGUCAAGUCUUAAACGUCUCCAGCGUCUUAGGCUCUAAACAAGUGCUAUAAAAUUCAGCCGCGCAUAAAAUAAAAUUUUAUGUUAUAUAUUAAACUCUGAAAAAAUCGUCCAGAAUGACCCGUGAAGAAAAUAAAUUAAAAUUUAAAUUGAA